GACGAACGCUGGCGGCGUGCUUAACACAUGCAAGUCGAACGGAAAGGCCCUGCUUGCAGGGUACUCGAGUGGCGAACGGGUGAGUAACACGUGGGUGAUCUGCCCUGCACUUCGGGAUAAGCCUGGGAAACUGGGUCUAAUACCGGAUAGGAGCCAUUUUUAGUGUGAUGGUUGGAAAGUUUUUUCGGUGUAGGAUGGGCUCGCGGCCUAUCAGCUUGUUGGUGGGGUAAUGGCCUACCAAGGCGGCGACGGGUAGCCGGCCUGAGAGGGUGGACGGCCACAUUGGGACUGAGAUACGGCCCAGACUCCUACGGGAGGCAGCAGUGGGGAAUAUUGCACAAUGGGCGCAAGCCUGAUGCAGCGACGCCGCGUGGGGGAUGACGGCCUUCGGGUUGUAAACUCCUUUCGCUAGGGACGAAGCUUUUUGUGACGGUACCUAGAGAAGAAGCACCGGCUAACUACGUG
rnacentral:rRNA from 1 species